rnacentral:lncRNA from 1 species
AAGGGUACGACAGAGGAUGAGAUGGCUGGAUGGCAUCACUGACUCGAUGGACGUGAGUCUGGGUGGACUCCGGGAGUUGGUGAUGGACAGGGAGGCCUGGCGUGCUGGUAUUCAUGGGGUCGCAAAGAGUCGGACACGACUGAGCGACUGAACUGAACUGAGAGGGCGCCGCAGGGCUGGAGGCAGCUCCUCAGACCGUAACCCGGCUUUGUCGGCGGCGCCGGGCCCGGCCCACAGGGGGCGGUAGAGGGCGCCGCAGGGCGGGGGCGGCGGGGCUGCUCCCUCCGCUUCCCUACCCAGGGACUGAAUCCGGUUUGCCGUUUCCUCGACCCUGACCCUGGCAGAGUCAGCUUCAUGGGGCCCCGCAGAGGCAGCAGCACCUCCUCUCCCCGCCCCGGAGACUGGAGUCCCAGCGCCGGAACCCGUCGUCGAGUUUCUAAAUUGGCAUCAUUUCAGUCUCUCCCUUAUUUCUCGAGCACCCCCAGCCUAAGAGACGGCUGCCUCGCAGAUGCUGCCUCUGCUACCCUUCGAGUUCUCUGGGGCCUCUGCAGUUACCUCCUCAACAAGCCUUCCGCCUACAUCGUCUCUCUUGGAAAAGCAAGCCGCCGUGAUUUCUGUCUCCUGUGUGGACCCUGGCGGACACGGCCCUUCGCGUCCACACCUGGCCUCAGGCCUGCUCAGCGUCUCCUCUCCGGACCGGCACGCCCAACCCUCCACGGGAAGCCUGCUGUCUCUGUGCCCCAGGCUCCUGCGUCUCCUCACCCCCGGCCCAGCCCUGCCCUCGGGGGAGAUCACUCUUCCUAUUGAUGGAAACACAGAAGCUCCUCCAAGGCACAGAGCGGCUUUACCUUUUACAUCACUGUUAACCAGGGAUUAGAGAGUAAGUGUUCUGCACUUAGUCAAAAACAUUCUAAAAUAUAGGCUUUUCCACAACAUAGCAUGCCCAGAAAUCCCUUUAUUACUCAAGAGAAAUGUAACCUCUAUCAAUCAAGUUGUAGUAGUAAUUACUUGAUUUUAUGCAUUUGUCAAAAAUCAUAGAACUGUAUGCUAAAACUGAGGAAUUUCACCAUAAGAAAAUAAU